GUGGCUUUUUUACUUCUACUACCGCCUGUUUUAAUGUUUUCUAUGCGAUCAGCAUGUGCAGUGAUAUCCCACAUGACAAUCUGAAACAGAAAUAAAUGUUACUAAAUAUUUUCAGGGUUAAAGAUUAAAACAAUUUAUUCAUAUUGGUAUGCACUUGGAUGAAUCAAUCACCUUGGGGGAUAAUCAAACUCAGCCUACAUCUUAGGUUUGAAAGCUGCACUCACUCCCAAGGCCUUUAGGAGCUGCCCCACAAGAAUUCCACCCACGGUUUUACCCUAAUGAUUUAAAGUCCAAGUAGCCUGCUGUUGUAAUAGGGGUGGUAACCUGAAAGAGUGCCUAUGAAUUAGGAAUUUUCGAAAAUAAGAAAAAACUUAUUUUAUUUAGACAAUCAGACAUAAACAUCAAAUAUCAUAAUGUAUAUGCUUCAAAAUUAAGCAAAGGCACCACACCAUUUAAUGCCCUCUGUCACUAAACAUUAACACUACCAUUUGCUGCUUAAUUGAAUACUCUGGGUUAAGUUCUUCUUGCCCUUCAUCUUUCCAAUGAGAGCAUUUUCUAGGACCAGCAGAGUCGGCACUGCCGGGAGCUGUCAGAAAUUCGAGUCACAGGCGUCACUCCAGACGACUGAGGCAGAGCCUGCUUUUUAACCAGAUGCGCAGUGGGUGCGUGUGCACAUUAAAAUUUGAGUAACCGUGGGUAGGGUAGGUUGGCACCCUGGAGCUUCGGGGUUUAACCCAGUUUCAAGUAGAAGCGUUUGUAAACAUUUUCAAAAUCGUAUUUCUCUCUGUUUCAGCCAGAAUGAGAAUGGAAUUCGGAGGGAGAAGUGAGAGAGAGGGCCUUCGCUCUGGUUUCCUGUUCUUCCCGUCCGGCUGAAUGGGGAAGUCCUCUGCGCGGCGGACACAACCACGGUGUGUUUCUCUGGUUUCCCGUUUCUUGAUUCCCCUGAACCCUGCCGCCUGGUUCCUGAGGGUCAGGAAUUGCAGGCUGGCAAAACUGUUGUCUGAGCUAAAGUCCCUGGGUAUCUUUUUUUUUUUUAAUCUCCAAAUAAAAGUUUCUUAGUUGCUUUGAGAAUCUCCUGGAAGUUUCUCUCCUCUAACAUAAUUUUCUUCUUUUGCAAGCCAGGCUUCCCUUAGGUUCACUUUGGAUAAAACUCUAUGAAAAAAAAAACUCUUUUAUGAAAGAGCUCUUUUCCAGAACAAAUCUAGGCUUAUAUUAAUUUAAAUUAAAAAAAAAAAAAGCCGUAAGCAGUGCUAUAGUGGGAAGAAUGGCAGUGUAUAAACAUGGGUUUCUUAUUUAUUCCUGGCCAGUGCUAUUUUAAUUCUUGUGCCCAUUUCCUCUCUCUUCUUAUAGUUCCGGCUUCUUCCUCCCACAUCUCGGGGAAGGCAUUAUGCUCCUUUCUUCACAAACACAGCAAUUGAAAGGGAAGAACAAAACUCCAGACUAAAGAUAAUGCACAAUGUGGGUAAUUGAGAAAUGACUACAGGCCAAUUAUUUCCUUGAAAUAGGUUAUACACUUCUCAUUUUUAAUGUUAUUAUUAGGAAAAAUUUAGAUGCUUUAUUUUCAUAAAGGGAAAAAGAAACCUUCGGGUUUUUGUUUCUUUCUUUUUGCCCACAUAGGAGAGAACUAUAGCAUGCUUCCCAUGAGUGGCAAAUAAUUAAUGCACACUCUGCAUCAUUGAUGAGUUUCUGAACUAGAUUCUCCCUAGGCAUGGAUAAUUUUCAUGACAUUUAAUACAGUUGAAAGAACUAAUGAUUUUUUUUUAAAGUAGAAGAGCUUAACUUGGACCAUCUCUGAACUUGACCACCAAAUAUUUAAUUAUGGAAAGAAAUGGAAACCAGCCUAUUGGGUACAACUGGCAAACCUGUCCAUCAUUGGUUCUACUUCUCUGAACUCUGGUAUCAACUUGAUGAGAACUUGUCACACUCUCUCUCUGGUCUAGAAGCCACCUGGCUCUGCCCAGGGUCCUAGUGCCACUGCAGAGGCAUUUUGAAGACACCUCUCUUUCAGCAUCAGUAAGGGUGGUGGCAACACAGGAAUUAGAGAUAAGGACGAUGCCAUCCAAGUAGUACCUCUGAGUUGAAUUCAGGUUCUUAUUUACAAAGAUAUUUUUGUAAGUUGCUGACAUCAUCAUUGUAACAAUGGUCAUCAUCAUCUAUGGCCUCCUCAUCUUUGUAAUCCUACACAAUUCAAUGACACUAAGAAGGGAGAGUGGAGAAGUGCAGAGUGGAGAAGAAAACUUAAAAUAAAAGAGAUCAUGGUAAAUAAAUGUUAAUUUGCUGUUAGGAAAACAUCCUCACAUGCUCAACUGUAUACUUCUUCCAGGUUUACCCUGUUUGGUGUGGCCCUUGCUUUCGAGGUUCAAGAUGCUGCUUAGCAAUCGAGGCGAAAGAAAGACCGAGGAUCUGCGGACUUUGUCAUUUGCGUUUGCACGUCUGGUAACUGGCUUCAUGGCAGUGUAGAUACCAUGUAUGGGACUGUUUUCAAAGACUAUGAUUAUUAACUAAAAAUACACAUUUUGUGUUUUAU